UAUUCAGCUCAAUUUACGUUUAGUUUAGUGUUUUGUUGGUUUUUUUUUCUUUAAGAAUUAUGAUUACUUUUUUCUUACGAACGCAACUACAAUAUGGUACGUCUCGCGAUUGGGACGCAAAACGGGGAUAAACGUAGAAAUCUUACACAUUUAGACAACACGAGUAAACUGGUCGAACCGAAAAAGGCCAGUAAUAUCAACUCAAAAUGUAAGUUCGCGUGACAUACAAGUUCAUAUGCUGUCAAAAACUUAUUAAGGAUUUUUUUACUUCUUCCUGCCAAUUAAACAAUGUGAUCGUGUGACUAUUUUUUGACGUACAACCCUAACCACUUAAUAACGAGUGGAUCAGUUUGAUUACUUGGUAGUAGAUGGUUAUUAUUAGUACAAAUGUGAAUUGUUGUUAAAACUAAUUGGAUAUUACUAACAUCAUAAUGCAGUUCAAUUAGUGAGCAAGAACAUGUGUGUACUUUUUAAAGCAAUAAAUCAAAAUAAAGAAAUACAGUUUGAAAGUUUCGAAAACCACAUCAGAUUUUUAUAAUUCGUCGAAAAGACAUUUCACUGUGGAUUGUAUAUAGAAUUGUCAUAACGCAUAGGACACUUUAAGAAGACGUUGUUAAAAAAGGCUUUGAGGCACGAGCAGGCACUUUGAUAGUGGCACCGUAUACCUUCCAUAGGUAAGCUGCUUCACUGCUACUUAAUGUGAAAAAACUGCUGUACAGCUCCUUAAUGUGAAAAAAGAAAAUCAAGUUCCAUUUCCAGAGUCUCCGGUGCACCUUUUAUUCUAAGUUAAAGUAAAGUUCAGUUGGUCUGUUGAAGUAUAGAUGCUGAAUAUUUUAUGUUCUGGUUUGACAAAGGAUUAGUGUUCGUGUGAAACCCAACGCAACGCACACAAAAUGAUGGUUAAGAACUGCUGUUGUUUUUUCGGAAGUUGUAAGGAAACGCCGUAGAACUAUUUUCUUACGCGUAAAGAUAUUGUUGUCGUUGUUGUGCAUAUAUAGGAGGACACAACGAGAUGAGAAGACGAUUUAUCGCAUUCGAAGAGAAAAAAAAACACCAACCCCUCCCCCACGAAAAAAAAAACAAACAAACAAAAAGCAGAAGAAACAAAAACAACAACAAACAGCAGCAGCAGCAGCAGCAGCAUAAAACAAUAAAUGACGUUAAUUCUCUAAAGAAUUUUAAGUACAUAAUAUACUGGUAUAUUUAAUAUUUUUCGUAGUUUAAUAAUUCUUUCUGUUAUGAUAUCUAAAUAACGCGCGUCAUUAAUAGCAAAUUUAAAAUAGUAACGCAAUAAUCGAUAUGGUCCGAUUUUUGAAAUUAACCGGGGUUAAAAACGCGGACGUUUAAUAAUCGACGAGUAUGUACAUGUACAUGUAAGAGUGUUUUAUGUUAGUUAAUAAGCAAGUAGAUCUAUAAAUACACAAGACACGCUAAAAUGUUGUUUUCAAGGAUUUAGUUGACUCAUUUUACACGCAUGUUUGAGCAGUUGUUAUGUUGGCUCUGUGUGUAUCGAAUUUUGUGUGAUCACAUAAUUGUCAAUAUCGUGUAUAAACGGUGUCGUCUGCAACUCGGUUCUAGUGUCGUCUGCUAUCAACGCUAUGACUCUCAGAUAAAUAUUGGGAAACUUCCUCUGAUAACACAGUAGGAAACGUCUAAGGAAUUUAAAACAUGAAGGUCUCGAAGUGGCACGGACGGCGGUCCGAGCCUGCCACCGACGACGAGUUGGUUCCCCUCGCACUCUCAACUGACUCGGACACAAUGGAAGAACAGACCAAGACCCGGGUACCAGA